AAUGAACGCUGGCGGCAUGCCUAACACGUGCAAGUCGAACGAAGGCUUCGGCCUUAGUGGCGCACGGGUGCGUAACGCGUGGGAAUCUGCCCCUCGGUUCGGAAUAACAGCGAGAAAUUGCUGCUAAUACCGGAUAAUGACGAAAGUCCAAAGAUUUAUCGCCAAGGGAUGAGCCCGCGUAGGAUUAGCUAGUUGGUGUGGUAAAGGCGCACCAAGGCGACGAUCCUUAGCUGGUCUGAGAGGAUGAUCAGCCACACUGGGACUGAGACACGGCCCAGACUCCUACGGGAGGCAGCAGUGGGGAAUAUUGGACAAUGGGCGAAAGCCUGAUCCAGCAAUGCCGCGUGAGUGAUGAAGGCCUUAGGGUUGUAAAGCUCUUUUACCCGGGAUGAUAAUGACAGUACCGGGAGAAUAAGCUCCGGCUAACUCCGUGCCAGC
rnacentral:rRNA from 1 species